rnacentral:rRNA from 1 species
UACGGGGGGGGCAAGCGUUGUUCGGAAUUACUGGGCGUAAAGGGCGCGUAGGCGGCCUACUAAGUCGGACGUGAAAUCCCUCGGCUUAACCGGGGAACUGCGUCCGAUACUGGUUGGCUUGAGUUUGGGAGAGGGAUGCGGAAUUCCAGGUGUAGCGGUGAAAUGCGUAGGUAUCUGGAGGAACACCGGUGGCGAAGGCGGCAUCCUGGACCAAUACUGACGCUGAGGAGCGAAAGCCAGGGGAGCAAACGGG